rnacentral:rRNA from 1 species
UGAGUAACCUGCCCUUAACUCUGGGAUAAGCCUGGGAAACUGGGUCUAAUACCGGAUAUGACUCCUCAUCGCAUGGGUGGGGGGUGGAAAGCUUUAUUGUGGUUUUGGAUGGACUCGCGGCCUAUCAGCUUGUUGGUGAGGUAAUGGCUCACCAAGGCGACGACGGGUAGCCGGCCUGAGGAGGGUGACCGGCCACACUGGGACUGAGACACGGCCCAGACCUCCGUACGGGGAGCAG